rnacentral:rRNA from 1 species
GAACUUAAGCAUAUCAAUAAGCGGAGGAAAAGAAACCAACAGGGAUUGCCCCAGUAACGGCGAGUGAAGCGGCAACAGCUCAAAUUUGAAAUCUGGCCUUGUGCCCGAGUUGUAAUUUGUAGAGGAUGCUUUUGGCGACGCGCCUUCCGAGUUCCCUGGAACGGGACGCCAUAGAGGGUGAGAGCCCCGCCCGGUCGUGCGCCUAGCCUCUGUAAAGCUCCUUCGACGAGUCGAGUAGUUUGGGAAUGCUGCUCUAAAUGGGAGGUAUACGUCUUCUAAAGCUAAAUACCGGCCAGAGACCGAUAGCGCACAAGUAGAGUGAUCGAAAGAUGAAAAGCACUUUGAAAAGAGGGUUAAAUAGUACGUGAAAUUGCUGAAAGGGAAGCGCUUAUGACCAGACUUGGGCGCGGCGGAUCAUCCGGCGUUCUCGCCGGUGCACUCCACCGCCCCAGGCCAGCAUCAGUUCGCGCCGGGGGAUAAAGGCUUCGGGAAUGUGGCUCCUCCGGGAGUGUUAUAGCCCGUUGUGUAAUACCCUGGUGCGGACUGAGGUCCGCGCUCUGCAAGGAUGCUGGCGUAAUGGUCAUCAGUGACCCGUCUUGAAACACGGACCAAGGAGUCGUCUUCGUAUGCGAGUGUUCGGGUGUCAAACCCCUACGCGGAAUGAAAGUGAACGUAGGAGAGAGCUUCGGCGCAUCUCCGACCGAUCCUGAUGUUCUCGGAUGGAUUUGAGUAAGAGCAUACGGGGCCGGACCCGAAA